GACGUAGGGCGCGAGCGUUUGUCCGGAUUUAUUGGGCGUAAAGAGCUCGUAGGCGGCUUGUCGCCGUACGACCGGUGAAAACCUUGGGGCUCAACCCCAAGCCUGCGGUCGAUGACGGGCAGGCUAGAGUUCGGGUAGGGGAGACUGGAAUUCCUGGUGUAGCGGUGAAAUGCGCAGAUAUCAGGAGGAACACCGAUGGCGAAGGCAGGUCUCUGGGCCGAUACUGACGCUGAGGAGCGAAAGCGUGGGGAGCGAACAGG
rnacentral:rRNA from 1 species